GGUAACAUGUUCUAGCUUGCUAGAAGAUGACGAGUGGCGGACGGGUGAGUAAUGCUUGGGAACUUGCCUUUGCGAGGGGGAUAACAGUUGGAAACGACUGCUAAUACCGCAUAAUGUCUUCGGACCAAACGGGGCUUCGGCUCCGGCGCAAAGAGAGGCCCAAGUGAGAUUAGCUAGUUGGUAAGGUAACGGCUUACCAAGGCGACGAUCUCUAGCUGUUCUGAGAGGAAGAUCAGCCACACUGGGACUGAGACACGGCCCAGACUCCUACGGGAGGCAGCAGUGGGGAAUAUUGCACAAUGGGGGAAACCCUGAUGCAGCCAUGCCGCGUGUGUGAAGAAGGCCUUCGGGUUGUAAAGCACUUUCAGUUGUGAGGAAAAGUUAGUAGUUAAUACCUGCUAGCCGUGACGUUAACAACAGAAGAAGCACCGGCUAACUCCGUGCCAGCAGCCGCGGUAAUACGGAGGGUGCGAGCGUUAAUCGGAAUUACUGGGCGUAAAGCGCACGCAGGCGGUUUGUUAAGCUAGAUGUGAAAGCCCCGGGCUCAACCUGGGAUGGUCAUUUAGAACUGGCAGACUAGAGUCUUGGAGAGGGGAGUGGAAUUCCAGGUGUAGCGGUGAAAUGCGUAGAUAUCUGGAGGAACAUCAGUGGCGAAGGCGACUCCCUGGCCAAAGACUGACGCUCAUGUGCGAAAGUGUGGGUAGCGAACAGGAUUAGAUACCCUGGUAGUCCACACCGUAAACGCUGUCUACUAGCUGUGUGUGUCUUUAAGACGUGCGUAGCGAAGCUAACGCGCUAAGUAGACCGCCUGGGGAGUACGGCCGCAAGGUUAAAACUCAAAUGAAUUGACGGGGCCCGC
rnacentral:rRNA from 1 species